GUCUGGUAGCUAUCCGAUUACUGGGCGUAAGCGUGCGCAGGCGGUUUUGUAAGUCUGUCGUGAAAGCCCCGGGCUCAACCUGGGAAUUGCGAUGGAGACUGCAAGGCUUGAAUCUGGCAGAGGGGGGUAGAAUUCCACGUGUAGCAGUGAAAUGCGUAGAGAUGUGGAGGAACACCGAUGGCGAAGGCAGCCCCCUGGGUCAAGAUUGACGCUCAUGCACGAAAGCGUGGGGAGCAAACAGGAUUAGAUACCCCGGUAGUCCACGCCCUAAACGAUGUCUACUAGUUGUCGGGUUUUAAUUAACUUGGUAACGCAGCUAACGCGUGAAGUAGACCGCCUGGGGAGUACGGUCGCAAGAUUAAAACUCAAAGGAAUUGACGGGGACCCGCACAAGCGGUGGAUGAUGUGGAUUAAUUCGAUGCAACGCGAAAAACCUUACCUACCCUUGACAUGUCAGGAAUCCUGGAGAGAUCCGGGGGUGCCCGAAAGGGAACCUGAACACAGGUGCUGCAUGGCUGUCGUCAGCUCGUGUCGUGAGAUGUUGGGUUAAGUCCCGCAACGAGCGCAACCCUUGUCAUUAGUUGCUACAUUCAGUUGAGCACUCUAAUGAGACUGCCGGUGACAAACCGGAGGAAGGUGGGGAUGACGUCAAGUCCUCAUGGCCCUUAUGGGUAGGGCUUCACACGUCAUACAAUGGUACAUACAGAGGGCCGCCAACCCGCGAGGGGGAGCUAAUCCCAGAAAGUGUAUCGUAGUCCGGAUCGUAGUCUGCAACUCGACUACGUGAAGUUGGAAUCGCUAGUAAUCGCGGAUCAGCAUGUCGCGGUGAAUACGUUCCCGGGUCUUGUACACACCGCCCGUCACACCAUGGGAGCGGGUUUUACCAGAAGUAGGUAGCUUAACCGCAAGGAGGGCGCUUACCACGGUAGGAUUCGUGACUGGGGUG
rnacentral:rRNA from 1 species